GGACCCGCAUAAGCGGUGGAGCAUGUGGUUUAAUUCGAAGCAACGCGAAGAACCUUACCAGGUCUUGACAUCCUUUGAAGCUUUUAGAGAUAGAAGUGUUCUCUUCGGAGACAAAGUGACAGGUGGUGCAUGGUCGUCGUCAGCUCGUGUCGUGAGAUGUUGGGUUAAGUCCCGCAACGAGCGCAACCCUAUUGUUAGUUGCCAUCAUUAAGUUGGGCACGUCUAACGAGACUGCCGGUGAUAAACCGGAGGAAGGUACGGGG
rnacentral:rRNA from 1 species